GCAGUGUGUCCUCAUAGCAUGCCCUGCCCAAGGCAGUGGCCAUGGCGUCUGUUUGUGCUGCGGUGAUUAAGGGCUGCAGGCUUGCCAGUGUCUCACAGUAGCUGCUUCUCUUCUCUCUUCAGAGGCCACAAGAGAAAACUGAAUGAGGAAGACGCGGCCAGCGAGUCCAGUGGGGAGUCCAGCAACGAUGAUGAGGAGGGCAGCAGUUCGGAAGCAGACGAGAUGGCCGCUGCUCUGGAGGCGGAGCUUAAUGACCUCAUGUGACUUGGACCCGCCCCAUACCAGCCCUUGGCUUGGGUCCUUUUUCUCCAGAAAAACAUAUAUUUUGCAGAGCUCCACAUACAGAAACACAUUAUUUUGCAGAAAUAAGUGUUUGUAAGAAGUUUUACUAUAGGAAAAUCUACUUUUUUAAGUGACAGUGUUCUGAGGAGUUGGUGUGCGAUGCCAAAGAGCUCACAGGGCCUCCCACGCAAGCAUGGAUAUGUGAUGUCUGGUCGUGUGGUGAGGGCCUUGGGGGCUUCCCUUUGAAUACUAAGCAUAUUUAGUGUGAGGACUGGGAACCCAGGAAGAUUUAAAGAGCAAUAGAGCAAAACCUGGCACCUUGGGCCUUUUCCACAGCUGAUGCUGUCAGAAUUUUGAAGGAUUUUUAAGUAAAGCAGCAGUGUACAUAUGUGUGUACAGAACACCGAGACUCACAGGCAGGCCUGAGAGCCCCAGCCCCCUUCAGUCCCUCGGCGGCUCCGCGGAUGGCCUGGAGGUCCCGGCUCGUCCUUGUCUGCAGCCUGGGCUGCCUGGGCCAUCCAUAGCCUGCCAGUGCGGGCAGUGUGAUAAGAGCUGGUCUGUACCGCCCUGAAAGAGGUCUGAUGUAAAGUUUUUGUAUAUUUCAUAUUCCGCCCACCAGAUUCUUCUUCCAUUUAAUAAAAUCCUUUUUGU
rnacentral:lncRNA from 1 species